rnacentral:rRNA from 1 species
GGACGGAAGUCUGACCCAGCAACGCCGCGUGAGUGAAGAAGGUUUUCGGAUCGUAAAGCUCUGUUGUAAGAGAAGAACGAGUGUGAGAGUGGAAAGUUCACACUGUGACGGUAUCUUACCAGAAAGGGACGGCUAACUACGUGCCAGCAGCCGCGGUAAUACGUAGGUCCCGAGCGUUGUCCGGAUUUAUUGGGCGUAAAGCGAGCGCAGGCGGUUAGAUAAGUCUGAAGUUAAAGGCUGUGGCUUAACCAUAGUACGCUUUGGAAACUGUUUAACUUGAGUGCAAGAGGGGAGAGUGGAAUUCCAUGUGUAGCGGUGAAAUGCGUAGAUAUAUGGAGGAACACC